rnacentral:piRNA from 1 species
UGUCAGAGCUUCUAGGUCUCAUUUG